AAAUUCAACUAAAAUCACCUCUUGGAGAAGAGGAAAAAGAACCAGGUUUAAAGAUAAUGGUGAAACCCAUCUCUUAAGAACCAAGGUAAGAGGUGGAAUUAAUGCUGUUCUAAGGCCGGGCGUCAUCUUUUUCUCCACAUUGUAUCCCAUCAAGACUUGUAGUGGAUGUACUAGUGUGUCAAACGUUUAUCUUUAUUUAAUGUGCUUGUAAUUGAUUCCGAUUUGAACCACUCAUCUCUUUCAUCCGUGUUCUUUGCUUGUAACUCUAAUUAGGUCUAUUUUGGCGGCUCUAUCUCUUCCACUGUCACUUUUUCUGUACUGAUUCCAAUCAUCAGCUGUUUGUUUAUAUGCCACGCAAAGAACGCACCGUUACACCAUAUUAUUGGGUAGUGAAGCACAGAAAUAGAAGGUAUUUACCAGAACUUAUAUUGAGUUAUAACAAGAAUAGAAGCUCAGAUUUUGGGUAAUAAGCUUCCCUGUUAUUUUUGUUUUGUUCAGUGUCGAUCAUGGGAUUCUGUAUAAUUGUAUUCUAAAGUUUAGUUUAAAAAAAUGUGUUGCUAAGUAUAUGGGAACCGCACAAUGUUGUAAGUUUUCUUUCUUCUUACUGA